GGCGUCCUCUGGCCAGCGUCCGCCGAUAGCCAACCACAAAAACUCCUGCAUAAAUCGUGUCAUGUGUCUAAGUCUAUGAUUAAAAUAAAGCAAAAACUUUCAACAACGGAUCUCUUGGUUCUGGCAUCGAUGAAGAACGCAGCGAAAUGCGAUAAGUAAUGCGAAUUGCAGAAUUCCAGUGAGUCAUCGAAUCUUUGAACGCACAUUGCGCCCUUUGGUAUUCCGAAGGGCAUGCCUGUUCGAGCGUCAUUAUCACCCCUCAAGCCCUG
rnacentral:rRNA from 1 species